ACAUGCAGUCGAACGGCAGCACGGGGGCAACCCUGGUGGCGAGUGGCGAACGGGUGAGUAAUACAUCGGAACGUGUCCUGGAGUGGGGGAUAGCCCGGCGAAAGCCGGAUUAAUACCGCAUACGCUCUGAGGAGGAAAGGGGGGGAUCGCAAGACCUCUCGCUCAAGGGGCGGCCGAUGGCAGAUUAGCUAGUUGGUGGGGUAAAGGCCUACCAAGGCGACGAUCUGUAGCUGGUCUGAGAGGACGACCAGCCACACUGGGACUGAGACACGGCCCAGACUCCUACGGGAGGCAGCAGUGGGGAAUUUUGGACAAUGGGCGCAAGCCUGAUCCAGCAAUGCCGCGUGUGUGAAGAAGGCCUUCGGGUUGUAAAGCACUUUUGUCCGGAAAGAAAACCUCUGCCCGAAUACGGCGGGGGGAUGACGGUACCGGAAGAAUAAGCACCGGCUA
rnacentral:rRNA from 4 species